AUGUGGGUGAGAAUCCCACAGGCCGUAAACCCAAGGUUUCCAGGGGAAGGUUCGUCCGCCCUGGGUUAGUCGGGACCUAAGCUGAGGCCGAAAGGCGUAGGGGAUGGACAACAGGUUGAUAUUCCUGUACUACCGAUAACCGUUUGAGAGAAGGGAUGACACAGUAGGAUAAGCUAAGCACACUGUUGGUUAUGUGUGCCCAAGCAUUGAGGCAGUCAAAGUAGGCAAAUCCGCUUUGAUAAUACUGGGAUGUGAUGGGGAGCGAAAUUUAGUAGCGAAGUAGCUGAUUUCACACUGUCAAGAAAAGUCUCUAUCGAGGUUAAAGGUACCCGUACCGCAA
rnacentral:rRNA from 1 species